AUUACCGCAUAACAACGAAAACCACUAUAGGUUUUCGUUUAAAAGUUAUGGUUUUCGGGCUAUCACUUCUGGGAUGGGCCUGCGGCGCAUUAGCUUGUUGGUGAGGUAACGGCUCACCAAGGCUGUGAUGCGUAGCCGAGUUGAGAGACUGAUCGGCCACAAUGGAACUGAGACACGGUCCAUACUCCUACGGGAGGCAGCAGUAGGGAAUCUUCCACAAUGGGCGCAAGCCUGAUGGAGCAACACCGCGUGAGUGAAGAAGGGUUUCGGCUCGUAAAACUCUGUUGUUGAAGAAGAACGUGCGUGAGAGUAACUGUUCACGCAGUGACGGUAUUCAACUAGAAAGUCACGGCUAACUACGUGCC
rnacentral:rRNA from 1 species